UGGGGAAUAUUGCACAAUGGGCGAAAGCCUGAUGCAGCAACGCCGCGUGAGUGAUGAAGGCCUUCGGGUUGUAAAGCUCUGUCUUUUGGGACGAUAAUGACGGUACCAAAGGAGGAAGCCACGGCUAACUACGUGCCAGCAGCCGCGGUAAUACGUAGGUGGCAAGCGUUGUCCGGAUUUACUGGGCGUAAAGGAUGCGUAGGCGGAUUUUUAAGUGAGAUGUGAAAUACCCGGGCUUAACUUGGGUGCUGCACUUCAAACUGGGAAUCUAGAGUGCGGGAGAGGAGAAUGGAAUUCCUAGUGUAGCGGUGAAAUGCGUAGAGAUUAGGAAGAACACCAGUGGCGAAGGCGAUUCUCUGGACCGUAACUGACGCUGAGGCAUGAAAAGCGUGGGUAGCAAACAGGAUUAGAUACCCUGGUAGUCCACGCCGUAAACGAUGAGUACUAGGUGUAGGAGGUAUCGACCCCUUCUGUGCCGCAGUUAACACAAUAAGUACUCCGCCUGGGAAGUACGAUCGCAAGAUUAAAACUCAAAGGAAUUGACGGGGUC
rnacentral:rRNA from 1 species